CAGCAGAGAACAGGGCUUCCCACUGUGAGGUUAACUGAGCCGAAGAAAUGAAACGGGCAGUUUGCGAUAUAUUUAAAAGCAGGAUGGCUGACACUUGCUUAUUAAUUGGCUGAAAAAAAAAAAAAAAAAAAAAAGCAGAGGGAGGACCAGCGAUGAUUUUUUGUUUGAGGAACUGAAUGGAUGGCAGUAGCCUGAGAGUGGAAGGAACAAGAUUGGGCAGGCAUUCCAGGCCCAUUACCUGGGUCCAGGACGCUGGAAACUGUUGCUGGGGAAUCCUGAGGUAGGUGGGCUUUCUCUUCUCUAUCUCUGACAUUCUGUUAUUGGGGCUUUGGGGCUGGCUGGAAACUGCUUGACCCACUGUCCUUGCUGCA
rnacentral:lncRNA from 1 species